rnacentral:rRNA from 1 species
UACGUAGGGAGCAAGCGUUGUCCGGAUUCACUGGGUGUAAAGGGUGCGCAAGCGGAUUUGUAAGUCAGAGGUGAAAUCUCACGGCUUAACCGUGAAACUGCCUUUGAUACUGCAGAUCUUGAGUUUGGGAGAGGUUGAUGGAAUUCCAGGUGUAGCGGUGAAAUGCGUAGAUAUCUGGAAGAACACCAGUGGCGAAGGCGGUCAACUGGCCCAUAACUGACGCUCAGGCACGAAAGCGUGGGGAGCAAACAGG